rnacentral:rRNA from 1 species
GCUGGCGGCAGGCCUAACACAUGCAAGUCGAGCGGCAGCGCGGGGGCAACCCUGGCGGCGAGCGGCGGACGGGUGAGAAAUGCGUCGGAAUCUGCCUCUUUGUGGGGGAUAACGUAGGGAAACUUACGCUAAUACCGCAUACGACCUACGGGUGAAAGUGGGGGACCGCAAGGCCUCACGCAGAGAGAUGAGCCGACGCCGGAUUAGCUAGUUGGCGGGGUAAAGGCCCACCAAGGCGACGAUCCGUAGCUGGUCUGAGAGGAUGAUCAGCCACACUGGAACUGAGACACGGUCCAGACUCCUACGGGAGGCAGCAGUGGGGAAUAUUGGACAAUGGGCGCAAGCCUGAUCCAGCCAUGCCGCGUGUGUGAAGAAGGCCUUCGGGUUGUAAAGCACUUUUGUCCGGAAAGAAAAGCUUCCGAUUAAUACUCGGGAGUCAUGACGGUACCGGAAGAAUAAGCACCGGCUAACUUCGUGCCAGCAGCCGCGGUAAUACGAAGGGUGCAAGCGUUACUCGGAAUUACUGGGCGUAAAGCGUGCGUAGGUGGUUCGUUAAGUCUGAUGUGAAAGCCCUGGGCUCAACCUGGGAAUGGCAUUGGAUACUGGCGACCUAGAGUGC